rnacentral:rRNA from 1 species
UACGUAGGGAGCAAGCGUUGUCCGGAAUCAUUGGGCGUAAAGCGCGCGUAGGCGGCCCUGUAAGUCCGUUGUGAAAGUCAAAGGCUCAACCUUUGAAAGCCGAUGGAUACUGCAGGGCUAGAGUACGGAAGAGGCGAGUGGAAUUCCUGGUGUAGCGGUGGAAUGCGCAGAUAUCAGGAGGAACACCUGUGGUGUAGACAGCUUACUGGACCACUUCUGACGCUGAGACACGAAAGCGUGGGUAGCAAACAGG